rnacentral:rRNA from 1 species
GUUGAACGCUGGCGGCAUGCUUUACACAUGCAAGUCGAACGGUAACAGGCCGCAAGGUGCUGACGAGUGGCGAACGGGUGAGUAAUGCAUCGGAACGUGCCCAGUCGUGGGGGAUAACUACUCGAAAGAGUAGCUAAUACCGCGUACGAUCUAUGGAUGAAAGCGGGGGACCGUAAGGCCUCGCGCGAUUGGAGCGGCCGAUGUCAGAUUAGGUAGUUGGUGGGGUAAAGGCUCACCAAGCCAACGAUCUGUAGCUGGUCUGAGAGGACGACCAGCCACACUGGGACUGAGACACGGCCCAGACUCCUACGGGAGGCAGCAGUGGGGAAUUUUGGACAAUGGGCGCAAGCCUGAUCCAGCAAUGCCGCGUGCAGGAAGAAGGCCUUCGGGUUGUAAACUGCUUUUGUACGGAACGAAACGGCUCUGGUUAAUACCCGGGGCUAAUGACGGUACCGUAAGAAUAAGCACCGGCUAACUACGUG